CGCCGGUAAGGUGAUAUGAACCGUUAUAACCGGCGAUACCCGAAUGGGGAAACCCAGUGUGACUCGUCACACUAUCAUUAACUGAAUCCAUAGGUUAAUGAGGCGAACCGGGGGAACUGAAACAUCUAAGUACCCCGAGGAAAAGAAAUCAACCGAGAUUCCCCCAGUAGCGGCGAGCGAACGGGGAGGAGCCCAGAGCCUGAAUCAGCAUGUGUGUUAGUGGAAGCGUCUGGAAAGGCGCGCGAUACAGGGUGACAGCCCCGUACACAAAAGCGCAUGUGCUGUGAGCUCGAUGAGUAGGGCGGGACACGUGGUAUCCUGUCUGAAUAUGGGGGGACCAUCCUCCAAGGCUAAAUACUCCUGACUGACCGAUAGUGAACCAGUACCGUGAGGGAAAGGCGAAAAGAACCCCGGCGAGGGGAGUGAAAAAGAACCUGAAACCGUGUACGUACAAGCAGUGGGAGCACCCUUUGGGUGUGACUGCGUACCUUUUGUAUAAUGGGUCAGCGACUUAUAUUCUGUAGCAAGGUUAACCGAAUAGGGGAGCCGGAGGGAAACCGAGUCUUAACCGGGCGUUAAGUUGCAGGGUAUAGACCCGAAACCCGGUGAUCUAGCCAUGGGCAGGUUGAAGGUUGGGUAACACUAACUGGAGGACCGAACCGACUAAUGUUGAAAAAUUAGCGGAUGACCUGUGGCUGGGGGUGAAAGGCCAAUCAAACCGGGAGAUAGCUGGUUCUCCCCGAAAGCUAUUUAGGUAGCGCCUCGUGAAUUCAUCUCCGGGGGUAGAGCACUGUUUCGGCUAGGGGGCCAUCCCGGCUUACCAACCCGAUGCAAACUGCGAAUACCGGAGAAUGUUAUCACGGGAGACACACGGCGGGUGCUAACGUCCGUCGUGAAGAGGGAAACAACCCAGACCGCCAGCUAAGGUCCCAAAGUCAUGGUUAAGUGGGAAACGAUGUGGGAAGGCCCAGACAGCCAGGAUGUUGGCUUAGAAGCAGCCAUCAUUUAAAGAAAGCGUAAUAGCUCACUGGUCGAGUCGGCCUGCGCGGAAGAUGUAACGGGGCUAAACCAUGCACCGAAGCUGCGGCAGCGACACUGUGUGUUGUUGGGUA
rnacentral:rRNA from 1 species